rnacentral:rRNA from 1 species
GAUGAACGCUGGCGGCGUGCCUAAUACAUGCAAGUCGAGCGAACAGACGAGGAGCUUGCUCCUCUGACGUUAGCGGCGGACGGGUGAGUAACACGUGGAUAAUCUACCUAUAAGACGGGGAUAACUUCGGGAAACCGGAGCUAAUACCGGAUAAUAUAUUGAACCGCAUGGUUCAAUAGUGAAAGACGGUUUUGCUGUCACUUAUAGAUGGAUCCGCGCCGCAUUAGCUAGUUGGUAAGGUAACGGCUUACCAAGGCAACGAGGCGUAGCCGACGUGAGAGGGUGAUCGCCCACACUGGAACUGAGACACGGUCCAGACGCCUACGGGAGGCAGCAGUAGGGAACCUUCCGCAGUAGGCGAAAGCCUGACGGAGCAACGCCGCGUGAGUUGUGAAGGUCUUCGGAUCGUAAAACCCUGUUAUUAGUGAAGAACAAAUGUGUAAGUAACUGUGCACGUCGUGACGGUACCUAGUCAGAAAGCCCCGGCUAACUACGUG